rnacentral:rRNA from 1 species
GAUGAACGCUGGCGGUGUGCCUAAUACAUGCAAGUCGUACGCAUUCUCGUUUCUGAUUGACGGUGCUUGCACCUAAUUGACGAGACAUUGGAAUGAGUGGCGGACGGGUGAGUAACACGUGGGUAACCUGCCCAGAAGCGGGGGAUAACAUUUGGAAACAGAUGCUAAUACCGCAUAAAGGGCAAAACCACAUGGUUUUGAUUUAAAAGAUGGCCUUUGUGCUAUCACUUCUGGAUGGACCCGCGGCGUAUUAGCUAGUUGGUAAGGUAACGGCUUACCAAGGCAAUGAUACGUAGCCGAACUGAGAGGUUGAUCGGCCACAAUGGGACUGAGACACGGCCCAUACUCCUACGGGAGGCAGCAGUAGGGAAUCUUCCACAAUGGGCGCAAGCCUGAUGGAGCAACACCGCGUGAGUGAAGAAGGGUUUCGGCUCGUAAAACUCUGUUGUUAAAGAAGAACGUAUCUAAGAGUAACUGCUUAGGUAGUGACGGUAUUUAACCAGAAAGCCACGGCUAACUACGUGCCAGCCGCCGCCGUAA